rnacentral:rRNA from 1 species
UACGUAGGUGGCAAGCGUUGUCCGGAAUUAUUGGGCGUAAAGCGCGCGCAGGCGGUCCUUUAAGUCUGAUGUGAAAGUCCACGGCUCAACCGUGGAGGGUCAUUGGAAACUGGGGGACUUGAGUGCAGGAGAGAAGAGUGGAAUUCCACGUGUAGCGGUGAAAUGCGUAGAGAUGUGGAGGAAUACCGGUGGCGAAGGCGGCAUCCUGGACCGAUUACUGACGCUGAGGCGCGAAAGCUAGGGGAGCAAACGGG